rnacentral:rRNA from 1 species
UACGUAGGGGGCUAGCGUUGUCCGGAAUCAUUGGGCGUAAAGCGCGUGUAGGCGGCCCGGUAAGUCCGCUGUGAAAGUCGGGGGCUCAACCCUCGAAAGCCGGUUGAUACUGUCGGGCUCGAGUGCGGAAGAGGCGAGUGGAAUUCCUGGUGUAGCGGUGAAAUGCGCAGAUAUCAGGAGGAACACCGAUUGCGAAGGCAGCUCGCUGGGACGUUACUGACGCUGAGACGCGAAAGCGUGGGGAGCAAACAGG